rnacentral:rRNA from 1 species
UACGUAGGGGGCAAGCGUUGUCCGGAAUCAUUGGGCGUAAAGCGCGUGUAGGCGGCCCGAUAAGUCCGCUGUGAAAGUCCAGGGCUCAACCCUGGGAUGCCGGUGGAUACUGUCGGGCUCGAGUCCGGAAGAGGCGAGUGGAAGUCCUGGUGUAGCGGUGAAAUGCGCAGAUAUCAGGAGGAACACCAAUGGCGAAGGCAGCUCGCUGGGACGUGACUGACGCUGAGACGCGAAAGCGUGGGGAGCAAACAGG